rnacentral:hammerhead_ribozyme from 1 species
GCACUGCUGAGGAGUCCCACAAUAGGACGAAAAGCCUUUCCAGUAC